CACACACCACACACCACCACAUACUAUAUACCACACACACAACACACACCCUACACACACCACACACUACACACCAAUCACACCACACACAACACACACUCGAAACAUACACCACACACCCUACACACACACCACAUAACACACACUACAUACCACACACACCGCACACACCAUACCACACACACCACACACACACUACAUACCACACACACCACACACACACCACACACACACCACACACCACAUACCACACACACCACACACACAACACACACCCUAUACACACCACACACUACACACACACCAAUCACACACCACACACAACACACACCGUAAACACACACCACACACCCUACACACACACCACAUACCACACACACACUACAUACCACACGCAAGCCACACACACCACAUACCACACACUACAUACCACACACACUACAUACCACACAGUACACAUAUACCACACCGCACACACACCACACCACAUAUGGCACACACACACACACCACACACACCACACACACACUAUACCCACACAGCACACAUACCGCACACAGCACACACACCCCCAACACACC
rnacentral:lncRNA from 1 species